CUUCACCGACCCCAGGCGCAGCGGACGGUCCUGCGGGCGCCCCUGCCCAUAGGUGGCCAGCAGCGCCUGUGCCUC
rnacentral:antisense_RNA from 1 species